rnacentral:rRNA from 1 species
AGCGGCGGAUGGGUGAGUAACACGUGGGGAACCUGCCCCUAAGUCUGGGAUACCAUUUGGAAACAGGUGCUAAUACCGGAUAAUAAAGCAGAUCGCAUGAUCAGCUUUUGAAAGGCGGCGUAAGCUGUCGCUAAGGGAUGGCCCCGCGGUGCAUUAGCUAGUUGGUAAGGUAACGGCUUACCAAGGCGACGAUGCAUAGCCGAGUUGAGAGACUGAUCGGCCACAUUGGGACUGAGACACGGCCCAAACUCCUACGGGAGGCAGCAGUAGGGAAUCUUCCACAAUGGACGCAAGUCUGAUGGAGCAACGCCGCGUGAGUGAAGAAGGUUUUCGGAUCGUAAAGCUCUGUUGUUGGUGAAGAAGGAUAGAGGUAGUAACUGGCCUUUAUUUGACGGUAAUCAACCAGAAAGUCACGGCUAACUACGUGCCAGCAGCCGCGGUAAUACGUAGGUGGCAAGCGUUGUCCGGAUUUAUUGGGCGUAAAGCGAGCGCAGGCGGAAAAAUAAGUCUAAUGUGAAAGCCCUCGGCUUAACCGAGGAACUGCAUCGGAAACUGUUUUUCUUGAGUGCAGAAGAGGAGAGUGGAACUCCAUGUGUAGCGGUGGAAUGCGUAGAUAUAUGGAAGAACACCAGUGGCGAAAGCGGCUCUCUGGUCUGCAACUGACGCUGAGGCUCGAAAGCAUGGGUAGCGGACAGGAUUAGAUACCCUGGUAGUCCAUGCCGUAAACG